rnacentral:lncRNA from 1 species
AAAAAGAUACAUCGUGUGUGCAAAGAAAAUGAAGGAGUAUUUAAGCGUAUUAAGGGAACAAUCACUGUGUUGCAUAUAUCUCAUAGAAGUACAUGUUUUGGAUACCAUAUGAGAACCACCCUCAGCAGUGUCACACAUGACUUCAUCAUCAUACUCCCGGUUCAUUUCUAAAUUCUGGACCCUGCAGCCGUGAAAAUUCAGCAACCUCAUAUCUGAAACUGGUGUCUGCAGCUGCCUAGACACUUCCAAUGUAUCCUCCAGACUCUGCAUGAUCAAAAGAUUCCUUUCCAGUUCAAAAGAUCAGAGAAUUUGGAGUUAACUCUGAGUUCUAUUGCUUUGAUGUCCAUAUUCAACCAGAGCCAUAUCAUCGAUUCUAUACAGGGGAUUCUUCUUCUCGGCUUCUAUGUCUC